rnacentral:ribozyme from 1 species
UGCCCAGCAACACCUAUCCCUACCUCCACGUGGUACCGGUCGGAAACUAUGAGCAACCUUAGGGAAUAUCGGGUAACCAAUUUCGGGUAAAGCAAGAGCGGG